CGAUCAGGAGGGUUGCAUUUGCGAUCCGUUAUGAAGCAUUCAUACCUGGUUG
rnacentral:ncRNA from 1 species